CCAGGCCACUGUACCACCUUGGACGUACCCAACUUUUUUGAGUUCCAGAAGCUAAGCAAGUUCGGUCCUGGUUAGUAUCAGGAUGGGAAGCCACCAGAAAUGACUUGGGAUCUUCAGGU
rnacentral:rRNA from 1 species